rnacentral:rRNA from 1 species
AUGUCCUUGGAAACCCUCCAUAAGAGUAGAGGAGGCAAGUUCAAGAGAACUGAUAAGAAGGACGUGGCUGCAAUAUCUGGAGCACAUGUUCGAGUUAUUCAAAGAAUAUGGGAGACGGCAAUGAAACAGAAAGGCCUUGGUCAGGAGGUGGAUGUUUCAAACAAAAGAAAGGAAAAUUGUGAAAGAAAAUCUUAUGAUGAUAUCCUAUCUCUCAUUCCGACAAUUCCCUUAAACAAGAGGUCAACUAUUCGAUCUCUAGCCAAGGCACUAGGUGUAAGCCCUACUACACUAUACAAGAAGUUCAAGUUGAAUAAGAUAAGGAGACACUCCAACAGGGUAAAGCCGGUACUGACAGAGAAAAAUAAGAGAGAUAGGGUGGAUUUUUGCCUCUCUAUGAUAGAUGAGGCAACAUUAGGAGAUGUAAGCCCAAGUUUCAGGAGUAUGCAUAAUAUUGUUCACAUCGACGAAAAAUGGUUCUCCAUGACCAAGAGAAAGAGGAACUACUAUCUGCUGCCUGACGAAGAGGACCCGGAAAGACCUGUCAAAAACUCGAUUGGAAAAGUGAUGUUUCUCACAGCGGUAGCAAGACCACGGUUUGAUGAAGAUGGGAACAUGACAUUCUCUGGAAAAAUUGGGGUAUGGCCAUUCGUGAGAGUGACUGCAGCAGCAAAAAAAAGCAAGAACAGGGGAAAAGGGACAUUGGAAACAAAGCAUGUCAUAGUGACGAGGGAUGUGAUGAGAGAGUACAUUAUAUAG